GAUGAACGCUGGCGGCGUGCCUAAUACAUGCAAGUCGAGCGAACAGAUGAGGAGCUUGCUCCUCUGACGUUAGCGGCGGACGGGUGAGUAACACGUGGAUAACCUACCUAUAAGACUGGGAUAACUUCGGGAAACCGGAGCUAAUACCGGAUAAUAUAUUGAACCGCAUGGUUCAAUAGUGAAAGACGGUUUUGCUGUCACUUAUAGAUGGAUCCGCGCCGCAUUAGCUAGUUGGUAAGGUAACGGCUUACCAAGGCAACGAUGCGUAGCCGACCUGAGAGGGGGAUCGGCCACACUGGAACUGAGACACGGUCCAGACUCCUACGGGAGGCAGCAGUAGGGAAUCUUACGCAAAGGGCGAAAGCCUGACGGAGCAAAGCCGCGUGAGUGAUGAAGGUCUUCGGAUCGUAAAACUCUGUUAUUAGGGAAGAACAAAUGUGUAAGUAACUAUGCACGUCUUGACGGUACCUAAUCAGAAAGCCACGGCUAACUACGUG
rnacentral:rRNA from 1 species